rnacentral:rRNA from 1 species
AUUGAACGCUGGCGGCAGGCCUAACACAUGCAAGUCGAACGGUAACAGGAAACAGCUUGCUGUUUCGCUGACGAGUGGCGGACGGGUGAGUAAUGUCUGGGAAACUGCCUGAUGGAGGGGGAUAACUACUGGAAACGGUAGCUAAUACCGCAUAACGUCGCAAGACCAAAGAGGGGGACCUUCGGGCCUCUUGCCAUCGGAUGUGCCCAGAUGGGAUUAGCUAGUAGGUGGGGUAACGGCUCACCUAGGCGACGAUCCCUAGUUGGUCUGAGAGGAUGACCAGCCACACUGGAACUGAGACACGGUCCAGACUCCUACGGGAGGCAGCAGUGGGGAAUAUUGCACAAUGGGCGCAAGCCUGAUGCAGCCAUGCCGCGUGUAUGAAGAAGGCCUUCGGGUUGUAAAGUACUUUCAGCGGGGAGGAAGGGAGUAAAGUUAAUACCCUUGCUCAUUGACGUUACCCGCAGAAGAAGCACCGGCUAACUCCGUG